CAGCCACGGUAAUACGUAGGUGGCAAGCGUUGUCCGGAAUUAUUGGGCGUAAAGCGCGCGCAGGUGGUUUAAUAAGUCUGAUGUGAAAGCCCACGGCUCAACCGUGGAGGGUCAUUGGAAACUGUUAAACUUGAGUGCAGGAGAGAAAAGUGGAAUUCCUAGUGUAGCGGUGAAAUGCGUAGAGAUUAGGAGGAACACCGGUGGCGAAGGCGGCUUUUUGGCCUGUAACUGACACUGAGGCGCGAAAGCGUGGGGAGCAAACAGGAUUAGAUACCCCUGUAGUCCCUGUCUCUUAUACACA
rnacentral:rRNA from 1 species